GGAUCAUUACCGAGUUGUCGCAAGACAAUCUCCCUUUCUUGUGGUUGACUAUGUUGCCUUGCCUUCGGGCAGGAUUAUUCUGAAUCAGUGUCGUCUGAGUUUUAUUUAAUAAAUCAAAACUUUCAACAACGGAUCUCUUGGUUCUGGCAUCGAUGAAGAACGCAGCGAAAUGCGAUAAGUAAUGUGAAUUGCAGAAUUCCGUGAAUCAUCGAAUCUUUGAACGCACAUUGCGCCCUUUGGUAUUCCGAAGGGCAUGCCUGUUCGAGCGUCAUUACACCUUCUAUCAAGGUAUUGGGAGAUGCACUCGCACUCCUUAAAAACAGUGGUGAUAACUGUCUACUCACGCAUAGUAAUCUCUGCGACGGAUACACAGUGACCGCACCUUAAUUCUUUGUUUGACCUCGGAUCAGGUAGGGAUACCCGCUGAACUUAAGCAUAUCAAUAAGCGGAGGAAAAGAAACCAACAGGGAUUGCCUCAGUAACGGCGAGUGAAGCGGCAACAGCUCAAAUUUGAAACCUGCCAACCGGCCGGAUUGUAAUUUGUAGAGGAUGUUUUGGGGUCAGCUCUGAUCUAAGUUUCUUGGAACAGAACGUCACAGAGGGUGAGAAUCCCGUACGUGGUCGGCAGCUGGCUCUAUGUAAAACUCCUUCGACGAGUCGAGUUGUUUGGGAAUGCAGCUCAAAAUGGGUGGUAAAUUUCAUCUAAAGCUAAAUAUUGGCCAGAGACCGAUAGCGCACAAGUAGAGUGAUCGAAAGAUGAAAAGCACUUUGGAAAGAGAGUUAAACAGCACGUGAAAUUGUUGAAAGGGAAGCGCUUGCAAUCAGACUUGCGCGUAGGUAAUCACGAGUGGUUCGCUGCUCUGCACUUGCCUACGCUCAGGCCAGCAUCAGUUCUAGGGGUGGGAUAAAGGCCGUUGGAAUGUGGCUCUUCGGAGUGUUAUAGCCUUCGGUGCCAUGCCGCCUCCCGGGACUGAGGACCGC
rnacentral:rRNA from 1 species